rnacentral:misc_RNA from 1 species
UCUAGGGACACCGGCGAUACACGUCGGUAGGCGCCCGCCUCGUUGAUGGCCCUGCCGGAUCGGCCCCAGCUCGUGUGGCUGGGAUGCGGGUUCGGCCUUCAGGGCCGUCCGAACAAGUGAGCUCGCCUAGAACAACGUCGACCUGACGAUCGUGCCACGCUGUUGAGCUUUGAGGGACCGUGUGUCUCUCGAGGCGUCCUCUUGCUGGGUCGGCGGCGCAUCCGUUACCGCGGCUUGCCGCCGGCCCCGUGAGGAUCCUGUUCGCCCAGCUCGCAACGUCGGCGCUCCUAACGCCGGCGGCGAGCUGGCGCGACACCCGCCUCGAGAUCGGCCUUCAAGCGACUGGCGGGACCUUGGCGCUGCCGCGUGUGUGACGGCGCUCUGGUCCUGCCGGAUGUCUGCGGGAUUCGCCCGCGCGCACCUUGACAACUCCAUAGCAAGCAACAACGUGUUCUUUCCGAUGUAGAUCGGCAGACCUUCGGGUCUGCAAGAUCAAGAGAAGAAGGGCACACGGUGGAUGCCUUGGCGUCGAGAGCCGAUGAAGGACGUGGGCGGCUGCGAAAAGCCUCGGGGAGCUGCUGACCAAGCUUUGAUCCGAGGAUGUCCGAAUGGGGAAACCCGG